rnacentral:lncRNA from 1 species
UAUGUAAUUUCCUAUAAACAGCAGCAAACAACUUCAGUAUACACUGGCUGUUUGUUCAGUGUUCUUGCAGUACUUACAAUGGACAUUUCUCAGCAUAAUUAAUCUCUUUUUAAAAUUUGGCCCUAUUCUUAUCAGCACCAAUAUUAUACUUUGAAAUGAAUGGAAAUGCUGUACUCAUUGAAGGGAUAAGGAUUAAAUCUUAAAUGGGGUCUAGGGAUGAAGUGAGGAGGGAAAAAACCCUUACAAACCUGGUGCUUUUUUUCUCCUUUGGAAAUGAAAAGCAACAGGCUAUACUCUGUGAAAGAAAGGAAAUGGUGCUGACGAGCUUUUCCCCAACCACUGUACACCUCUGGUUCAGAACUAGCAGAAGCCAAUUAGUUAUUUAGUUCACUCGCACAUUUAAGCGUGAUAUUUGAUUUAUAUGAGCAUCAGGAACUAGAUAUUCAGGCAUAAUUCAGCAUACUUUGUGCAGAAUGAAUUGUUAAGUGCAUCUAUAGAAAACGAAUGAUUGGUAUUCAGCCAAGCUUUGCCUAUGUCUUUCCAUGACCAAAAACAAGUCAGACUUCAAAAGCUGCCAGAUUAUUGUGAAAGGAGAAACACUGUUUUCGAAGGCUGCUGAUAAUGCCUAUUAGCCAGAAGAAAGAGCCUGAAUCAUUCAAAGGUUUUCCAUCUAGUAAAGAAGUGUGGUAAAAAUCUUGCCCAGAUCUGCAUGUGCUAAGCAUCUACGUAAGUUGGAGCAUCAUAUUAAUGACACCCAGUGAAGAAACGAAAGAAUGAAGUGUAAUUACUAUAUCAAAAAUCCACAGAAUGUGAAAGUAUAAAGGAAAACUCUCAGGUGAGACUCGAUUAUUUUUAUUUCAAAGAUCUAGGUAAAAAUGUGAACAGAUUGGGAGGCUGAGGCAGGAGAAUCACUUGAACCCAGGAGGCAGAAGUUGCAGUGAGCCAAGAUUGCACCAUUGGACUCCAGCCUGGGCAACAGACAAGACUCUAUCUCAAAAAAAAAAUGUGAACAGAUAUAUUGACAUAAAAUUCAUAAAACAUAUGGAUAUACUAAAAACUAGGAAGUCUGGUUGCUUCUGAGGAUAAGAGUUGAGGACCUGUUUCAAGAAUACUUUGCACAGCUUGUACUAUUGCAGUAUUUGAAUUUUUUCUUGUACAUGUAUAACUUUUUUAAAAAGAAUGAGAAAUGCUGUACAAGUGCAACUAUUUUUACUGUAAGUUUUUAUUUCCAUAAAACUAUAAUUAAGUGUGUGGUCAAUAGAUCCUGUUAUAUAGCUAUGAUAUCCCUUGAAUUUGUUUACCUGGUAACACUAGCUCACGUUUGUAAAUCCUUUGGAACUCCCAAAGCGAUUUUACAUACAUUACCUAAUUUGUAAGAUUACAAAACUAUUACAUUAGCUUUUCUGGUUUUCUUGUCUUAAUACGUGAUUAUCAUAUUAAACUGCAGUGUUUUUUUUUUUCC